rnacentral:lncRNA from 1 species
AUCUAUCCAAGCUCAUUCAUCUUCCUUAUGAACUUCAGGGCAACCAACUUUAAGUGAUGCCUUUUUCAAUGCUGAAACAGCCCUCUGGCAUGCAAGCAAGAAGAGACGGACUUCUUCACAAGAGUCGCUGGAGGGAUUGAAGAAUCUUCCCUGCCCUGCAUGUUGUGUAAAGAAAGAGAGAGACUUUAAGUGUUGCUAUUCUUCUGCAGAACAUGAGUGUACAGAAAACCCUGGCAGCUUGUGGCUCUGCGCAGGAGAUCCUGCAUCUAGUUCAGGUUCCAUAUGGAGAGCUUUAUCACACUGAGAGGAAAAGACAGGACUCUAGUUCCUCAAAGCAAGACAGCCCUGGAAAGGCUGAUSAAAGUGAAGAGU